rnacentral:pre_miRNA from 1 species
UCUUAAGGACAAGCAAAGGAAAUGGUUUCUUGAUGGAAUCUAAUCCUGGUGAAGAUGCUGUGAA